AUCGCUGCUAAUCUAUCGCUGCCAACCUAUCUAUCGCUGCCAAUUUAUCUACCACUGCCAAUCUAUCUAUCACUGCUAAUCUAUCGCUGCUAAUCUAUUGCUGCUGCCAAUCUAUCUAUCACUGCUAAUAUAUCACUGCUAAUCUAUCUAUCGCUGCUAAUCUAUCGCUGCUGUCAAUCUAUCUAUCGCUGCUAAUCUAUCGCUGCUAAUCUAUCGCUGCUAAUCUAUCGCUGCUAAUCUAUCGCUGCCAACCUAUCUACCGCGGCGAAUCUAUCUAUUGCUGCCAACCAACCUACCUACCACUGCCAACCUAUCUAUCGCUGCCAAUCUAUCGCUGCCAACCUAUCGCUGCCAACCUAUCGCUGCCAACCUAUCUACUGCAGUGAAUCUAUCUAUCACUAUCAUUACUAGUUCAAAAUAGAACUAGAGCAUAAAUACACUAAACUUCUUUUGAUAGAUAAUGAUUUUUGAUAACACUCAUAGCAUUAUAUCAUCUAUAUAGGGUAAAUCAUGGUCCCAUUUGGUCCCAUUUUAACAAAAUGGGACCAAAUGGGAUCAGAAUCAGUAAUUUAUAAGAAGAACAUGACCUGGGACU
rnacentral:sRNA from 1 species